rnacentral:rRNA from 1 species
AGCGAACGCUGGCGGCAGGCCUAACACAUGCAAGUCGAACGAAGUCUUCGGACUUAGUGGCGGACGGGUGAGUAACACGUGGGAACGUGCCUUUAGGUUCGGAAUAACUCAGGGAAACUUGUGCUGAUACCGAAUGUGCCUUUCGGGGGAAAGAUUUAUCGCCUUUAGAGCGGCCCGCGUCUGAUUAGCUAGUUGGUGAGGUAAAGGCUCACCAAGGCGACGACCAGUAGCUGGUCUGAGAGGAUGAUCAGCCACAUUGGGACUGAGACACGGCCCAAACUCCUACGGGAGGCAGCAGUGGGGAAUCUUGCGCAAUGGGCGAAAGCCUGACGCAGCCAUGCCGCGUGAAUGAUGAAGGUCUUAGGAUUGUAAAAUUCUUUCACCGGGGACGAUAAUGACGGUACCCGGAGAAGAAGCCCCGGCUAACUUCGUGCCAGCCGCCGCAGUAAAAC